CUUGAGCCUUAGUGUUUAUAUUCUCUGUGUGUUUUUAAGAUAAUUCAUUUUUUUCAGUCCAUAUUUUAUUCUGCACAGUAUGUCGUGGAGCAAGGGUAAAGUUAAAUAUGGAGCAUAUUAUGAUGAUCUUGAAAUGGAUGAAGAAACACCACUUAUAAGAGCACAAAAUGGUAAGAAACCU